UGGCUUUGUAUUUUCAUUAAUCCUACAAUUUUUUGUUCCAGUGAAGGUACUACAAAAUAUACAUAUAGCUGCAAAGAAAUAUUGGAAGGCAUAAGUAGGUGUUGUUCGGAUUAUUUCUGGGUAUUCAGCAUUAACACUUGUGUUAAGUGCCAUGCAGGAUAUCAGGGUAUUAACUGUUCCGACGCAUGUAUAAGAGGAUUCUACGGAGAGGAGUGUGAUAAUCAAUGUCCUAUACAAUGUUAUGAUAGCUGUCAUCAUAUCACAGGGAAAUGCCUAGCUCCUACAGGGGGUAUAGAAAUACGCUCAUUUACAAAGUCCCUGUU